rnacentral:rRNA from 1 species
UCGAGAAUCUUCGGCAAUGAGCGCAAGCUUGACCGAGCGACGCCGCGUGCGGGAUGAAGGCCUUCGGGUUGUAAACCGCUUUGGUCCGAAAGAAAGGGUAAACUUGAUCGAUCGGAGAAACAAGGACGGGCUAAGUUCGUGCCAGCAGCCGCGGUAAGACGAACCGUCCAAACGUUAUUCGGAAUCACUGGGCUUAAAGGGCGCGUAGGCGGCCGAGCGGGUCGUGGGUGAAAUCCUCCAGCUUAACUGGAGAACUGCUUACGAUACCACUGCGGCUCGAGGAAGGAAGGGGUCAUGGGAACUGUCGGUGGAGCGGUGAAAUGCGUUGAUAUCGACAGGAACGCCUGUGGCGAAAGCGCAUGACUGGUCCUUUUCUGACGCUGAGGCGCGAAAGCCAGGGGAGCAAACGGGAUUAGAUACCCGAGUAGUCCCUGAGCGGGCUGGCAAGGCGCAU